rnacentral:rRNA from 1 species
AAACUAACAAGGAUUCCCCUAGUAACUGCGAGUGAAGCGGGAAAAGCUCAAAUUUAAAAUCUGGCGGUCUUUGGCCGUCCGAAUUGUAGCCUAGAGAAGUGUUGCCCGCACUGGACCAUGUAUAAGUCUCCUGGGAUGGAGCGUCGCAGAGGGUGAGAAUCCCGUCUUUGACAUGGACUGCCAGUGCAUUGUGGUAUGCUCUCAAAGAGUUGAGUUGUUUGGGAAUGCAGCUCUAAAUGGGUGGUAAAUUCCAUCUAAAGCUAAAUAUUGGCGAGAGACCGAUAGCGAACAAGUACCGUGAGGGAAAGAUGAAAAGAACUUUGGAAAGAGAGUUAAACAGUAUGUGAAAUUGUUGAAAGGGAAACGUUUGAAGUCAGUCAUGUUGGUCAGGGAUCAAGCCAGCUAAUUUUUGCUGGGUGUACUUUCUGGGCAACGGGCCAACAUCAGUUUGGACUGCUGGAGAAAGGCCUGGGGAAUGUGGCACCCUUUUGGGUGUGUUAUAGCUCUUGGUCAUAUACAGCGGUUGGGACUGAGGAACGCAGCACGCCCCAAGGCCGGGUUUCGACCACGUUCGUGCUUANGAUGUUGGCUUAAUGGCUUUAAGCNAC